AUUGAACGCUGGCGGCAGGCCUAACACAUGCAAGUCGAGCGAGCGGCGGACGGGUGAGUAAUGUAUGGGGACUGCCCGAUAGAGGGGGAUAACUACUGGAAACGGUAGCUAAUACCGCAUACUAUCGGAUAACCCAUAUGGGAUUAGCUAGUCGUGGAGGUAAUGGCUCACCUAGGCGACGAUCCCUAGCUGGUCUGAGAGGAUGAUCAGCCACACUGGGACUGAGACACGGCCCAGAUUACUACGGAGGCAGCAGUGGGGAAUAUUGCACAAUGGGCGCAAGCCUGAUGCAGCCAUGCCGAGUGGAUGAAGAAGGCCCUUGGGUUGUAAAGUACUUUCAGUCGGGAGGCGUUACCGACAGAAUAAGCACCGGCUAACUACGUGCCAGCCGCCGCGGUAAUUC
rnacentral:rRNA from 1 species